GAUGAAGAACGCAGCGAAAUGCGAUACGUAAUGUGAAUUGCAGAAUUCAGUGAAUCAUCGAAUCUUUGAACGCAUAUUGCGCUCUCUGGUAUUCUGGAGAGCAUGCUUGUUUGAGUAUCAGUAAACACCUCAACUUCCAUAUCUUUUUUGAAAUGGGAGUUAGACUUGAGUGAUCCCAACGCUUUUCCUCACCGAAAAGUGGCGGGUUACUUGAAAUGCAGGUGCAGCUGGACUUUUCUCUGAGCUAUAAGCAUAUCUAUUUAGUCUGCCUAAAAAACAGAUUAUUACCUUUGCUGCAGCUAACAUAAAGGAGAUUAGUUCUUGUGCUGACUGAUGCAGGAUUCACAAAGACAGGCUUCGGCCGACUUUGUAAACUCGAUCUCAAAUCAAGUAAGACUACCCGCUGAACUUAAGCAUAUCAAAAGCGGAGGA
rnacentral:misc_RNA from 1 species